AAAAAGAAAAACCCUGAGUUUUCGUGUCCAACUUUGACUGUCCGUCUUAUAUGAAAUUUUUUUAUAAUUCGUAUUUUCAUUGUUGUUAGAUGAUAAAACAUGAUUAAUAUUUUAUGCGUGACUUGUCUUUUUAAUUUUUUCCAUAAUUUUUUUAAAUAAGACGGACGGUCAAACGUUAGGCAUGGAACCAGGGUU
rnacentral:pre_miRNA from 1 species